CUACGGCUCAACCGUAGUAAGCUCUUGAAACUGGGAGACUUGAGUGCAGGAGAGGAGAGUGGAAUUCCUAGUGUAGCGGUGAAAUGCGUAGAUAUUAGGAGGAACACCAGUUGCGAAGGCGGCUCUCGGGACUGUAACUGACGCUGAGGCACGAAAGCGUGGGGAGCAAACAGGAUUAGAUACCCUGGUAGUCCACGCUGUAAACGAUGAGUACUAGGUGUCGGGGGUUACCCCC
rnacentral:rRNA from 1 species